AACGAACGCUGGCGGCAUGCCUAACACAUGCAAGUCGAACGAGACCUUCGGGUCUAGUGGCGCACGGGUGCGUAAGGCGUGGGAACCUGCCCUUAGGUUCGGAAUAACUCCCCGAAAGGGGUGCUAAUACCGGAUAAUGUCUUCGGACCAAAGAUUUAUCGCCUUUGGAUGGGCCCGCGUUGGAUUAGCUAGUUGGUAGGGUAAAAGCCUACCAAGGCGACGAUCCAUAGCUGGUCUGAGAGGAAGAUCAGCCACACUGGGACUGAGACACGGUCCAGAAUCCUACGGGAGGGGGGAGUGGGUGAUAUAGGACUAUGGGGGAAAGGCUGAUCCAGCAAUGCUGCGAGAGUGAUGAAGGCCGUAGGGUUGUAAUUCGCUUUUACCCGGGAUGAUAAUGACAGUACCGGGAGAAUAAGCUCCGGCUAACUCCGUG
rnacentral:rRNA from 1 species